rnacentral:rRNA from 1 species
UCGAGCGGACAGAUGGGAGCUUGCUCCCUGAUGUUAGCGGCGGACGGGUGAGUAACACGUGGGUAACCUGCCUGUAAGACUGGGAUAACUCCGGGAAACCGGGGCUAAUACCGGAUGGUUGUUUGAACCGCAUGGUUCAAACAUAAAAGGUGGCUUCGGCUACCACUUACAGAUGGACCCGCGGCGCAUUAGCUAGUUGGUGAGGUAAUGGCUCACCAAGGCAACGAUGCGUAGCCGACCUGAGAGGGUGAUCGGCCACACUGGGACUGAGACACGGCCCAGACUCCUACGGGAGGCAGCAGUAGGGAAUCUUCCGCAAUGGACGAAAGUCUGACGGAGCAACGCCGCGUGAGUGAUGAAGGUUUUCGGAUCGUAAAGCUCUGUUGUUAGGGAAGAACAAGUACCGUUCGAAUAGGGCGGUACCUUGACGGUACCUAACCAGAAAGCCACGGCUAACUACGUGCCAGCAGCCGCGGUAAUACGUAGGUGGCAAGCGUUGUCCGGAAUUAUUGGGCGUAAAGGGCUCGCAGGCGGUUUCUUAAGUCUGAUGUGAAAGCCCCCGGCUCAACCGGGGAGGGUCAUUGGAAACUGGGGAACUUGAGUGCAGAAGAGGAGAGUGGAAUUCCACGUGUAGCGGUGAAAUGCGUAGAGAUGUGGAGGAACACCAGUGGCGAAGGCGACUCUCUGGUCUGUAACUGACGCUGAGGAGCGAAAGCGUGGGGAGCGAACAGGAUUAGAUACCCUGGUAGUCCACGCCGUAAACGAUGAGUGCUAAGUGUUAGGGGGUUUCCGCCCCUUAGUGCUGCAGCUAACGCAUUAAGCACUCCGCCUGGGGAGUACGGUCGCAAGACUGAAACUCAAAGGAAUUGACGGGGGCCCGCACAAGCGGUGGAGCA